rnacentral:rRNA from 1 species
UACGUAGGGGGCAAGCGUUGUUCGGAUUCAUUGGGCGUAAAGGGUGCGUAGGCGGCGCGGUAAGUCGGGUGUGAAAUCUCGGGGCUUAACUCCGAAACUGCAUUCGAUACUGCCGUGCUUGAGGACUGGAGAGGAGACUGGAAUUUACGGUGUAGCGGUGAAAUGCGUAGAUAUCGUAAGGAAGACCAGUGGCGAAGGCGGGUCUCUGGACAGUUCCUGACGCUGAGGCGCGAAAGCGUGGGGAGCGAACAGG